CAAAAUUGAGUUUUUCACAAACUUCAUAAGCUUGUUAAGGUUUCUGCUGGAAAGGAAGACAUCACUUUCUAGAAAUAUCUCUAUGAAAUGGCUCGCACAGACUGUGGACCAGGGAAGGAUGAUGCUACAGAUGCACGGUCUCUCCAAGGCACCAACUGAAUCAAGCAUCUGUGUAGAGAGAAGAGAUUCAGCCCCAAGAUGAGAUCCAGGAAUCUAGGAUGUACUCAGGGAGAUGAAGACUACAGCCUACUCAUUCUGUCACUUUAUGCCCCCCUCUUUCUCCUCUCACUCUCUCAGUAUGGUGCAUUAUAGAACAACAAAGAGAGAAAAGGAAAUGAAGACCAUGAGCCUUGCAUAAUAAAUAUUAACUGAGAAGUACCUGGAUCUUAUGAGAAAUAUAUACCUUAUUAAAAAAAGCCAUGCUCUUCAAACUGGCCAGGAUUUAAGUGAUUUCCAGUGAGUACCUUACAAGAAUUCUUCUCAUGUGUGGAGGAGAAGUUCAACACCAUAAAUGGAUGUGGUACAGCGCCCCAGAGGGAAUUACAAUGAAAGUGAAAUCCAAAGAAUUCCAAGAGAACCACACCUGCAGAUCAUGCUCCAUUCAUUUGUGUACUUCCCCCUACUCAGUCUUUAAACCCACAGUGUAGCAAUUUCCAAAGGGAGCUCAAUGCAUAGAUCCCAGGCCCCUUCAUAUGAGCUCAUGGUUGUAUAAACCUCAGUGUCCAUAUCCUACUGAAACUCUGCCCAGAGGAAAGCAUGUGUUUUCUCAGAACUACUUAUUUUGCUCUUAGAUUAUUUUUAAAAUUUUACUCUUAGAUAUUUAU
rnacentral:lncRNA from 1 species